rnacentral:tRNA from 1 species
GCGUCAGUGGUUUAGUGGUUAAAUCUAUCGUUGCCAUCGAUGGGCCCCGCGUUCGAUUCGCGGCUGACGCA